CCUACGGGAGGCAGCAGUGGGGAAUAUUGCACAAUGGGGGAAACCCUGAUGCAGCGACGCCGCGUGAGUGAAGAAGUAAUUCGUUAUGUAAAGCUCUAUCAGCAGGGAAGAAAAUGACGGUACCUGAGUAAGAAGCCCCGGCUAACUACGUGCCAGCAGCCGCGGUAAUACGUAGGGGGCAAGCGUUAUCCGGAUUUACUGGGUGUAAAGGGAGCGUAGACGGCAGUGCAAGUCUGGAGUGAAAGGCGGGGGCUCAACCCCCGGACUGCUCUGGAAACUGUACGGCUGGAGUGCAGGAGAGGUAAGUGGAAUUCGUGGCGUAGCGGUGAAAUGCGUAGAUAUUAUGCGGAACACCAGUGGCGAAGGCAGCUUACUGGACUGUAACUGACGUUGAGGCUCGAAAGCGUGGGGAGCGAACAGGAUUAGAUACCCGAGUAGUC
rnacentral:rRNA from 1 species